rnacentral:lncRNA from 1 species
CCCCCCCAGGCGCUGGCGCCCCCCCGGGGGCUGGUGGUGGUGGUGACGGGGGGCUGCGGCUUUUUGGGGUCCCACCUGGUGCGGGUGCUGCUGGAGCACGAGCCCGAGCUGCGGGAGCUGCGCGUCUUCGACCUCCACAUCGACCCCGACGUCGCCCCCCCCAGGCGCUGGCGCCCCCCCGGGGGCUGGUGGUGGUGGUGACGGGGGGCUGCGGCUUUUUGGGGUCCCACCUGGUGCGGGUGCUGCUGGAGCACGAGCCCGAGCUGCGGGAGCUGCGCGUCUUCGACCUCCACAUCGACCCCGACGUCGCCCACGACCCCCGGGUGCGGCUGCUGCAGGGCGAGGAUCCUUGGGGACCCCAAUAUUUUGGGAUCUAGGUUCUUGGUGACCCCAAUACCUGGGGACCCCAAUAUUUUAGGACCCCAAUACCUGGGGACCCCAAUACUUCAGGACCCCAAUACCUGGGGACCCCAAUAUUUUAGGACCCCAAUAUUUUGGGAUCUGGGUCCUUGCUGACCCCAAUACCUUGGGACCCCAAUAUUUUAGGACCCCAAUAUUUUGGGAUCUGGGUUCUUGGUGACCCCAAUAUUUUAGGACCCCAAUACUUUGGAACCCAAAUACCUGGGAACCCCAAUAUUUUAGGACCCCAAUAUUUUGCGAUCUGGGUUCCUGGGGACCCCAAUACUUUGGGACCCCAAUAUUUUAGGACCCCAAUA